ensembl:lncRNA
AGAGUAAAUCUCCGAGGAGAUGGAGAGCUGAGGACACAGAGGAAUAGGCUCAGGGACAGCGGAGACAAUGGUGCCGCUGCUGCCCGGUCCUCCCCGGUACAAGAACAUGGCGUCUCCACCGCGGCACCAGCUGCCCGGUCCCCCCUGGUACAAGAACAUGGCGUCUCCACCGCGGCACCAGCUGCCCGGUCCCCCCGGUACAAGAACAUGGCGUCUCCACCGCGUCUCCACCAGCAAAUGCCCGGCCGGUUGACAUUCUGCUGCUCCGGCGUCUUUCAUCUUUCGCCCACACUUCAGUCAUCUAUCAUAGGAGGCAGUGCUUGUGUCUUUGCGUAUGUGUGCGCAUUAGCAAUUAUUUCUGCUGCCACGCCAAAUAAUAAAAUAACUUUUAAA